rnacentral:SRP_RNA from 1 species
AAUUGGGCUAGGUCGGGCUGCUAGUCGUAGCUUGCACCGUAAAUCGACUUUAUGACGGGACCGAAGCUUGGAUGAGGACUAGUAGUAUAUUAUUGGUCCUGGUUCGUACAAAGAUCCUUUGUCCCAUGGAGCCAAUAUUUUUGGGAAAUGAGUCAGGCUAGGAAUAGAGAUUGAAACUUGAUAAUAAUAUAUAAUUAUUUCGAAAAAACUAAAUUUACUAAAGUAGAUUUGCAUCGAACUUGAAUGACAAAAACCUCUAGAGUUUCUAUCGUUCAAAGCAGCUCUAACCAUUAAUGUUGACGUUCAUGGGGAAACAGAGGGGAGGAAAAAUCAGGGCAACCAAUCUUAUACUAUUUUUUCGACUUCCAAGCGUGCCUACUU